rnacentral:rRNA from 1 species
GACGAACGCUGGCGGCGUGCCUAAUACAUGCAAGUUGAGCGCUGAAGGUUGGUACUUGUACCGACUGGAUGAGCAGCGAACGGGUGAGUAACGCGUGGGGAAUCUGCCUUUGAGCGGGGGACAACAUUUGGAAACGAAUGCUAAUACCGCAUAAAAACUUUAAACACAAGUUUUAAGUUUGAAAGAUGCAAUUGCAUCUCUCAAAGAUGAUCCCGCGUUGUAUUAGCUAGUUGGUGAGGUAAAGGCUCACCAAGGCGAUGAUACAUAGCCGACCUGAGAGGGUGAUCGGCCAACUUGGGAAUGAGACACGGCCCAAACUCCUACGGGAGGCAGCAGUAGGGAAUCUUCGGAAAUGGACGAAAGUCUGACCGAGCAACGCCGCGGGAGGGAAGAAGGUUGUCGGAUCGUAAAACUCUGUUGGUAGAGAAGAAAGUUGGUGAGAGUGGAAAGCUCAUCAAGUGACGGUAACUACACAGAAAGGGACGGCUAACUACGUG